rnacentral:lncRNA from 1 species
GAAGACUGGAAUAGCAGACAAAGUGGAAGUGGAAUAUGACUCACUAGGAUCAGCGCUUUGGUUAAUAGUGGGAAUUCUCCCUCGUAAGGCAGGCUAACGUUCGACUAGCUUUUAGCUGGAACGUGGAUAAUUUAACCGGAGAUCGUAGUCUCAAUCCUGUUUUAUAUACCUUUAUAAGAUGAAGGAAUCUCCAAAAUGGUAAAAAUACUCAAGCAAGAGCAAGUGUCAGAGUAUGACAAAGAUGAGAAGUCAAACGGAGAAAGAGGAAGUAGAAUGUGCAGUAGCACCUCCCAGCAUUGAAGAUGGCAGGUAUCUCCGGGCUAAGUGAAAGUAACAUCGAUGUAAGCUUUCUGUCAUCAUGUAUGACAACCUGUUAAAUUAAAGGGACCACUUAAAGUUGUACUAAGAUUAAAGUUGUACUAAGACAGUUUUCUUAUCUCUGUAAAAUGUUCCAGAGCCCUAUAUACUCAAGUCUCUCGAGGUUUUAAAGCAAGCAGUAAUAAGUUAGUUACUUAUAUAUCACAUUAGAGAACAAACCUUCUGAAGGUUAUCGAAUAAAAUCCUCUUCCCUUAGUUUAUGCUAAUCGAUUGAGUAGUCACUUAUAAUAUAAUCCGUAGCAUUUAAGCCCUAUGGAUGGAGGCUUCUUGCUACUGCCUUACCAUAA